UUUUUUGCCGAGUCGCAGCCUACUACAUGCAGGUCGAACGAGUUCGCAAGGACAGUGGCAAACGGGUGCGUAACGCGUAAGCAACCUGCCUCAUACUGGGGGAUAGCCCGGCGAAAGCUGGGGUAAACCCGCACGGUCCGAUUAAGUCACCUGGCUUGAUGGGUAAACAUUUAUGGGUAUGAGAGGGGCUUGCGUCUGAUUAAUUAGUUGGCAGGGUAACGGCCUACCAAGACGAUGAUCAGUAGGGGUUCUGAAAGGAUUGGCCCCCACAUGGGUACUGAGAUACGGACCCAACUCCUACGGGAGGCAGCAGUAGGGAAUAUUGGGCAAUGGAGGCAACUCUGACCCAGCCAUGCCGCGUGCAGGAUGAAGGCGCUCAGCGUUGUAAACUGCUUUUAUUGGUGAAGAACUAUGGUCCUGCGGGAUUAUUUGACGGUAGCCAAGGAAUAAGCACCGGCUAACUCCGUGCCAGCAACCGCGGUAAUACAGAGGGUGCAAGCGUUGUCCGGAUUUAUUGGGUUUAAAGGGUGCGUAGGUGGAACUGUAAGUCUGAUUUGAAAGCAAGCGGCUUAACCGUUUGAUGUGGUUGGAAACUGUGGUUCUUGAAUGGGUUGGCGGUAGCCGGAAUGGAUCAUGUAGCGGUGAAAUGCAUAGAUAUGACCCGGAACACCGAUUGCGAAGGCAGGCUACUACGACUUGAUUGACACUGAGGCACGAGAGCAUGGGUAGCGAACAGGAUUAGAUACCCUGGUAGUCCAUGCCGUAAACGAUGAUUACUGGCUGUUUGUGUUCUAACAUGUGUGGGUGAGCGAAAGCGUUAAGUAAUCCACUGGGGAAUACGCUGGCAACAGUGGAA
rnacentral:rRNA from 1 species